UAGCCGGAGAGGCGAAAGAGGUAGGGAGGCGACGGCGACGCCGGAUCUGGAGAAGGGAGGCAGCAGUUGGGCGGCGGCUGCGGUCGACGCAGCGACGUUUACUGCUGCUGCUGCCGAUCGAGGGAGAGAGGAGUGGAGGUGCUGGCGGCGUAUCGCCGGAGCAGAGGAGGCGGCGGCUUAGGCGCUCCUCGCCGAAGCCGUCUGGCGGAGGGGUCAGGGAGAGAGUUAGGGAGGUCG
rnacentral:lncRNA from 1 species